CCACGUCCAGGGUGCCCUGGAAGUCCUCCUCGGUCUCGCCGGGGAAGCCGACGAUGAUGUCGGUGGUGAUCGCCGCGUCGGGCAUGGC
rnacentral:tRNA from 1 species